AAAUUGAAGAGUUUGAUCAUGGCUCAGAUUGAACGCUGGCGGCAGGCCUAACACAUGCAAGUCGAGCGGUAGCACAGAGAGCUUGCUCUCGGGUGACGAGCGGCGGACGGGUGAGUAAUGUCUGGGAAACUGCCUGAUGGAGGGGGAUAACUACUGGAAACGGUAGCUAAUACCGCAUAAUGUCGCAAGACCAAAGUGGGGGACCUUCGGGCCUCAUGCCAUCAGAUGUGCCCAGAUGGGAUUAGCUAGUAGGUGGGGUAACGGCUCACCUAGGCGACGAUCCCUAGCUGGUCUGAGAGGAUGACCAGCCACACUGGAACUGAGACACGGUCCAGACUCCUACGGGAGGCAGCAGUGGGGAAUAUUGCACAAUGGGCGCAAGCCUGAUGCAGCCAUGCCGCGUGUGUGAAGAAGGCCUUCGGGUUGUAAAGCACUUUCAGCGGGGAGGAAGGCGGUGAGGUUAAUAACCUCAUCGAUUGACGUUACCCGCAGAAGAAGCACCGGCUAACUCCGUGCCAGCAGCCGCGGUAAUACGGAGGGUGCAAGCGUUAAUCGGAAUUACUGGGCGUAAAGCGCACGCAGGCGGUCUGUCAAGUCGGAUGUGAAAUCCCGGGCUCAACCUGGGAACUGCAUUCGAAACUGGCAGGCUAGAGUCUUGUAGAGGGGUAGAAUUCCAGGUGUAGCGGUGAAAUGCGUAGAGAUCUGGAGGAAUACCGGUGGCGAAGGCGGCCCCUGGACAAAGACUGACGCUCAGGUGCGAAAGCGUGGGAGCAAACAGGAUUAGAUACCCUGGUAGUCCACGCCGUAAACGAUGUCGAUUUGGAGGUUGUGCCCUUGAGGCGUGGCUUCCGGAGCUAACGCGUUAAAUCGACCGCCUGGGGAGUACGGCCGCAAGGUUAAAACUCAAAUGAAUUGACGGGGGCCCGCACAAGCGGUGGAGCAUGUGGUUUAAUUCGAUGCAACGCGAAGAACCUUACCUGGUCUUGACAUCCACAGAACUUUCCAGAGAUGGAUUGGUGCCUUCGGGAACUGUGAGACAGGUGCUGCAUGGCUGUCGUCAGCUCGUGUUGUGAAAUGUUGGGUUAAGUCCCGCAACGAGCGCAACCCUUAUCCUUUGUUGCCAGCGGUCCGGCCGGGAACUCAAAGGAGACUGCCAGUGAUAAACUGGAGGAAGGUGGGGAUGACGUCAAGUCAUCAUGGCCCUUACGACCAGGGCUACACACGUGCUACAAUGGCAUAUACAAAGAGAAGCGACCUCGCGAGAGCAAGCGGACCUCAUAAAGUAUGUCGUAGUCCGGAUUGGAGUCUGCAACUCGACUCCAUGAAGUCGGAAUCGCUAGUAAUCGUAGAUCAGAAUGCUACGGUGAAUACGUUCCCGGGCCUUGUACACACCGCCCGUCACACCAUGGGAGUGGGUUGCAAAAGAAGUAGGUAGCUUAACCUUCGGGAGGGCGCUUACCACUUUGUGAUUCAUGACUGGGGUGAAGUCGUAACAAGGUAACCGUAGGGGAACCUGCGGUUGGAUCACCUCCUUACCUUAAAGAA
rnacentral:rRNA from 1 species